rnacentral:rRNA from 1 species
AGUAAUGUAUCGGAACGUGCCCAGUCGUGGGGGGUAACUGCUCGAAAGAGCAGCUAAUACCGCAUACGACCUGAGGGUGAAAGCGGGGGAUCGCAAGACCUCGCGCGAUUGGAGCGGCCGAUAUCAGAUUAGGUAGUUGGUGAGGUAAAGGCUCACCAAGCCGACGAUCCGUAGCUGGUCUGAGAGGACGACCAGCCACACUGGGACUGAGACACGGCCCAG